AAAAAACAAAGUAAAAAUUUUCCUGAAGCCCAAUUGCAAGAUGCCCUGUGUACCCAUGAACUGAAAAUUUGUAAUAUAGCUUUCCUUGUUUCUAGGCUGUAGUAUGCACAGAACAUAGGAUGGUUCACUGUGAUGUUCAUACCAUUCAGAAUUAGUAAUCUAAUUUGCCCAGGACUUGAUCCCAGGCAGCUGAAAAUAGUGCUGCCCUAUUUUUUUCAAGAGGUUUAAGCACCUAAUUCUUAUGAAUUUCAGUGAGAUCCAUAUGCAUGGGUCCUCAGAUCAUAUUUACUUCCACUUGUAAAAAUGUGAGGUUGUAUAAUAGAAGCUCUCUAAGCCCUGUGUUAGCAGACAUUCUGGGUACCCACUGCAGCUCACUGAGUUAAUUAAUGCGUUUAAGUGACCUACUGUAAUGUCUUCAUCUGUCAGAACCUGGAGACAGGGUAGCUAAGAGACCAUUUUGGAGUAUUCUGAGAUCACAGCAAUCUGAUGUUUAAGGAGGUUAAUGUAAUACUCACAGGGGCCUGAUGGAAGAGUUCACAAAACAGAUGAACCCACCUGAAUUCUGAGAGUUUGAGCAGGCGGAUUCUUAACCCGUAUUCAGUACAGUGUUUCUCUUCUUUAAAUUAAAGGGAGGAGAUUACCAGGAGGUAACUAUAAUAGACAGCUCUUUUCUGACUAAUGUUCUUGUCUGCAUCUUCUGGGUUUAGGAUGGCUGAUAACAUAACGAUGUCAUGGCCAAUGAGAAAAAUCAACUUGGAGGACAAAACUCACCUCCUCACUAACUCCAGUAGACGUGCCUCCUACUUGGAUCUUAGCUGCCCAAUAAGAACUCAAGAAAGCCAUGAGUCAGUGGGAACAAAUUCUGGUUUAAAGUGGAACAAGCCAAACUCUGUUACCCUCCUCAGCAACCCUGGGCUGAGUAGAAUCUCCACCUCACCUGCAGCCAGCCCAUGUCUUCAUGACUUGCCCAGCCUGCUGAGCCCAAUGCAGAAAUAA
rnacentral:lncRNA from 1 species